CCUACGGGUGGCAGCAGUGAGGAAUAUUGGUCAAUGGACGAGAGUCUGAACCAGCCAAGUAGCGUGAAGGAUGACUGCCCUAUGGGUUGUAAACUUCUUUUAUAUGGGAAUAAAAUGUUCCACGUGUGGGAUUUUGUAUGUACCAUAUGAAUAAGGAUCGGCUAACUCCGUGCCAGCAGCCGCGGUCAUACUGAGGAUCCGAGCGUUAUCCGGAUUUAUUGGGUUUAAAGGGAGCGUAGGUGGAUUGUUAAGUCAGUUGUGAAAGUUUGCGGCUCAACCGUAAAAUUGCAGUUGAAACUGGCAGUCUUGAGUACAGUAGAGGUGGGCGGAAUUCGUGGUGUAGCGGUGAAAUGCUUAGAUAUCACGAAGAACUCCGAUUGCGAAGGCAGUUCACUGGACUGCAACUGACACUGAGGCUCGAAAGUGUGGGUAUCAAACAGGAUUAGAUACCCGAGUAGU
rnacentral:rRNA from 1 species